rnacentral:tRNA from 1 species
CGGGGUGUGGCUCAGUUUGGCUAGAGCGCCUGGGUUGGGACCAGGAGGUCGCAGGUUCGAAUCCUGUCACCCCGA